UCCCUCUCAAUCCUUGGCAAGAUAAAAGAAACAACACAAAAAGGUCAUGUUCAUUAGUUAGCAAAAAAGUAUCACUUUUAAAAUAUAUAUGGCACCUACUAGUGAUAACAAUAGGUCAAAGUAAAGGUCCAUGAUGCACUCGUAAGAAUGCAAAAUAACACCAUAUUAUCUAUUGAUAAAACAAGGAUUAUAUAUUCUAAUUCGUUCAAAAUAAAGUCACAGAAUAAAGUGAAAAAUAUGCUGUUCUGCUUCCUUUUUCAUUCUAUCAAGGAAACUUAAGAUAUAUAAUAAAAUAAAACCAUCCCAGCUGCUCCCUCUCAAUCCUUGCCAUUUGGCAAGAUAAAAGUUGAAAAGAAGAAACAACACAAAGAGGACAUGUUCAUUAGUUAGCAAAAAAGCAUCACUUUUAAGAUAGAUAUGGCACCUACUAGUGACAACGAUAGGUCAAAGUAAGGGUCCAUGAUGCACUCGUAAGAAUACAAAAUAAGACCAGAUUAUCUAUUGAUAAAGCUAGGAUUAUAUAUUCUAAUUCGUUCAAAAUAAAGUGACAGAAUAAAGUGAAAGAUCUGCUGUUCUGCUGCCUUGUUCCUUCUGUCAAGGAAACUCCUUGCAAACCAACUUGUCUCAAUUUGAUCCAUGCUGGUUCUCCCAAUCAAACUUAAUCUGAACCUUUGUCUUGAAUGGAGAAUAAACCAACUAGUUGAGUCCCAUAAAAUUUGGAUUUAUGCCAGUUUCAGAAAUUAAAAGGGUGUGAUUGGUAUAAGGUUGCAACCUUAAACAAUCAAAUUAAGGCGCACCUUCAAAUUGUCAUAAAUAUAAUUUUGGUGUCAAAAAUUCUUAGGAUGGUUUGAGAAUUUAUUUUCAUCUCUAAUAAUAAAAUCUUAAACUCCAAAAAUGAUUCAAAUCAAGUAGAUCUAUAAACACUUAAAACUCUUGAAAAUGGAUGGUCUAGAUAAUGUGUUGCAAGAUACACUAUUUUUAGGACUCAAAAAUCUUUUUUUUCUUUUCGUAUUCAUACAUCUGGAUGUCGAGAUGAUCAAUUAGAGGGUUUAUCAACAUCAGAACAACCUUUUAUGAUGGAUUUUUGAGGUGCACCCUAAUUUCAGAUUUUAAGGUUGCAACCUUAUAUAAACUCUUUCCAUUAAGGAAUGGCCACAGUUAUGGUCAAAGUAGGACACCUAUUAAACGACAAGGAGAAGAAUCAACCACAAUGCACUAAUGCAUAAAUUAAAAAUGAACUGAAAAAGAAGACCAACCUAGUCCACAACCAAACCAUCUUCUCUAUUCCAACAUAGAACGAUGAUCUCCUCUAACCUACACAACAAAUGACUAAAUUUCACAAACUCAACAGUCCUUAGAACCCCUAUAACGUGAGGAUACUAUACUACCCUAACUACCAUCCACAUGAAAUGAUUCACGACCAUAGAAUUAAGCCCAGAUGCCAAUCCCAUUAGACGAGAAAAAAGUUCUGAGUGACUCCUUACGACCCGACUUGCCUCAAUGCAAAACCUUACGUUACAAUGCGUCCCAAUCGUCAACCUAAUUCCAUUAAUUGAUCUCUAGAUCAUCAUCAUCAUCAUCAUAGCCUUUCCCCACUUAAUUGGGGUUGGCUACUUUCAUGAUAAGUUUUAGCAAGAUUUUAUUUUGGCUGCCUACCUAACACAACCACGCCUUUACCGGAGCAUGGG
rnacentral:lncRNA from 1 species